AGUGAACGCUGGCGGUAGGCCUAACACAUGCAAGUCGAACGGCAGCACAGUAAGAGCUUGCUCUUACGGGUGGCGAGUGGCGGACGGGUGAGGAAUACAUCGGAAUCUACUUUUUCGUGGGGGAUAACGUAGGGAAACUUACGCUAAUACCGCAUACGACCUACGGGUGAAAGCAGGGGAUCUUCGGACCUUGCGCGAUUGAAUGAGCCGAUGUCGGAUUAGCUAGUUGGCGGGGUAAAGGCCCACCAAGGCGACGAUCCGUAGCUGGUCUGAGAGGAUGAUCAGCCACACUGGAACUGCGACACGCUCCAGACUCCUCCGGGAGGCAGCAGUGGGGAAUAUUGGACAAUGGGCGCAAGCCUGAUCCAGCCAUACCACGUGAGUUGAGAAGGCCUUCGGGUUGUAAAGCCCUUUUGUUGGGAAAGAAAAGCAGCAGGUUAAUACCCCGCUGUUCUGACGGUACCCAAAGAAUAAGCACCGGCUAACUUCGUG
rnacentral:rRNA from 1 species